rnacentral:rRNA from 1 species
UGCGGGCUCACUUUGUUUAACAGUCGUCCUCUCCCACCCCCUAUUCCGCUGACAACCCCCACCCCCACCCCCACCCCCACCGUGGUGGCGCAGCAGCACCGGGGACCGUGGCUGGCGGCCGGGGAUUGAGACCAGCGCGAGAAAAGUCUGGUGCCGUCCAGCUUCCAGGAUUCUCCGCCAGUGAGUCCUUUGCUCCUCCCCUCUUGCUUCCCCGGUAGUUGGUUCUGGCCGGCGCGUGGACGGGGAUGGGAUUUUUCAAGCUUUCUUCGGGCCGCCUGCUCCGUUGAUUCUUCAGCUGCGGGGAGGUCACCUGGCGGCUCCGCCAGCCGGGCGCUGGUUGUUUCGUUUCUUGCGUUUUAGGUGACCUGUGACUCAAAUCUUGGCCUGGUCUUUGCUAUCUGAAGGUCUGAUAUUUUUCACCAAUUCAAGUGUACCUGGAGAGGGGUCUACCAGAUUUUGCAAGAACGAGAUCUUGCAGUUCUGCAUACUUUCUGUCACUGGAUUUGGGGAUGGAGAGGCAGUCCAGCUCCCGGUUCGGCGCCCUGGAGAAGCUCAAGAGCUUCCGGGGCAUAGAGAAGCAGAGGAGCUUCAAGUUCCUGUCCAUGGAGAAGCAGCAGAGCUUCAAGGAGAGGCGGAGCCGGGACAGCCCCGGGAAGAGGGGCGACAGCGCGCUCCACCUCGCGGCCAGGGCCGGCAAUGUCUCCCAUGUCCAGAGGAUCUUCGCCGACUGCGACCCGGAGCUGGUGGGGGAGCUGGCCGCCCACCAGAACCUGGACGGCGAGACGGCGCUGUACGUGGCCGCCGAGAAGGGGCACGUCGACGUCGUGUGCGAGAUACUCAAGGCCUGUGACGUGCACUCAGCGGGGCUCAAGGCGACCAAUAGCUUCGAUGCCUUCCAUAUCGCGGCCAAACAGGGCCAUCUGGAUGUUCUGCAGGAGCUAUUGCAGGCAUUUCCCGCGUUAGCUAUGACGACGAGUUCUGUGAACGCCACAGCUUUAGACACCGCCGCAACCCAGGGCCACAUUGGUAUUGUCAAUCUUCUUCUGGAUACAGACGCAAGCCUUGCCAGGAUUGCAAGAAGUAAUGGGAAGACAGUUUUGCAUUCAGCAGCAAGAAUGGGUCAUGUGGAGGUGGUAGCGUCGUUGUUGAAUAAAGAUCCGGAUAUUGGUUUCAGAACAGACAGGAAGGGACAGACAGCGCUGCACAUGGCUUCCAAAGGCCAGAAUGCUGAAAUUCUGCUUGAGCUAUUGAAGCCUGAUGUCUCAGUAAUCCAUUUGGAGGAUAACAAGGGGAACAGAGCACUGCAUGUUGCAACGCGCAAGGGCAACACCAUUAUGGUUCAGACUUUAAUAUCCAUUGAAGAGAUUGAUAUCAAUGCAGUCAAUAAAGCUGGAGAGACUGCUUUUGCCAUUGCAGAGAAACAAGGCAAUGAAGAGCUUGUUAACAUCCUGCGGGAGGUUGGUGGAAUAACUGCAAAAGAGCAAGCAAAUCCUCCGAAAUCAGCCAAGCAGCUUAAGCAAACAGUCAGCGAUAUCAAGCAUGACGUCCAAUCACAGAUCAAGCAAACGCGUCAGACCAAGAUGCAUGUCCACAAGAUCAAGAAGAGGAUUCAGAAGCUCCACAUUGGCGGGCUAAACAAUGCCAUCAACUCCAAUACCGUUGUCGCAGUACUUAUUGCCACGGUUGCCUUUGCAUCCAUAUUCACCAUUCCUGGUAAUUUUCUUGAGAGUAUGGACAAAGCGACUGAGCCCCAUAUGAGCUUAGGGCAAGCACUGGUAGCAAGCAGGCCAGCUUUUAUAAUCUUCUUGGUCUUUGACUCCUUGGCUCUCUUUAUUUCGCUCGCCGUGGUCGUUGUCCAGACCUCUCUGAUUGUUGUUGAGCAGAAGGCGAAGCAGAAGAUGGUCUUUGUGAUGAACAAGUUGAUGUGGCUCGCGUGCCUCUGCAUAUCAGCAGCCUUCAUAGCACUGACCUACGUCGUCGUGGGCCGCAAUGACGAGUGGCUGGCUUGGUGCACGAUGGUGAUCGGCACCGUGAUUAUGCUAACCACCAUUGGUUCCAUGUGCUAUUGCAUCAUCAGCCACAGGAUGGAAGCGCAGAGCAUGAGGAGGAUCAGGAGGUCCUCCAUGAGCCAGUCGUGGUCCAUAUCAGUCGACUCGGACACGGAGCUAGACAUGACCAGCAGAAACAAGACGAUGUAUGCGCUGUAGGACGGUGAGUCGAUGACCGACACCUCAUGCAACAGAGUCAUGUAUAUAUCGGAGCCCAUUUGCCCGAGCCCAAUUCCACGGCAUUCUGCGGAUUCGACUCGAGAUAUAUCUAGGCCUAGGAACAUGGCAGCUGUAUGUAUCAUGGAUGUAUGUAUGCAAUGCAAGUGAAGCCUCCUUUGCACAAACAAAGGGAGGCAUGUGGAUGCAGUUCCUGGGUAGAUUGGUUCCAGGCAGAGCCACUUUUUAUAGGCACUAUAUAUAUAGGAGUAGUAGUACUUGUGAAGCAAAGAUGUUUUGCUCUUAUGCUUACUACCACUGUGGAUGAUGAUGAUGAUGACAAUCCAUCCAAUUAUGUAUACCAAGUUACCAACCAGUAUAGUAGAAUAAAUUGCCACUUUGUCAAACCUAUGUUGUCAUGGAUGCUCAUCUUGAUCUUGUGCAUCAUGUGUCAAAAGGAGAUAGUGAUGCAUCAUAUGGUUAUGGUCAUUGGGACUGCUGAACAAGCACCAAAAAAUGCAAAAACCAACGAUGACACAUCAUCACUUCUCUGGACUUUGACUGUUGACAUGAGAAAGCAAGAACAAGUUUUGCGACUGUUCACCAGCAGGUUGUGCUCAAGCAAUACAGUGAUUGAGCAGCUUUCACCGUCAAAUUCUGCUUUUUAUCGUCUGAACGGAAAGCCGUCAAAACUCUCAGGCAUCACUCCUCCCAAAUCCCCAGAAUUCCAAGACAAAAUUUCAUCCUGAAGCCAGGGUCUCCAUCGACCUCUGAGAUCCAUCGUGAUCGCGUAGAGCGACCGGACCCGACGGGGCAGAUCGUCGGCCGGUGAGAGCCAGCCUGAUGGUGCCAAAUCAGAUGCCAAGAAGAGCGCGGAUGUGGAAUUCUUGUGGAAUUUUGCCCCGGUCCACACCCCUAUUGUCCCCAUCUGUUCCAGUUCCAGCAGUGCCUGACAAAACUGAUCACUCGGAAAGGGAGGGCCUGGACUCCUGGUGAAGAUGUGGGCGGAUUUGCAUCGUCCAUGGGCUUGGCUGAAAAAAAAAAUUAUAGGCUUGUUAGAAAAGAUAAAAUCACCUUGUAUAUAGUUUACUUGUACUAGUGUACUAGUGUUUGACUUGUUGGCAGCUGAGUAUGCGGCUCCACAAAGAUGCCUUGAAUGAAGUUUUCC